CUCACCUUAGUGGCGGACGGGUGAGUAACGCGUAAGAAUCACCUUUAGAGGGGGACAACAACUGGAAACGGUUGCUAAUACCCCAUAAGCUGCGAAGUAAAAAGAAUAUUCUUCUACCUAAAGAUGAGCUUGCGUCUGAUUAGCUUGUUGGUAAGGUAAUUGCUUACCAAGGCGACGAUCAGUAGCUGGUCUGAGAGGAUGAUCAGCCACACUGGGACUGAGACACGGCCCAG
rnacentral:rRNA from 1 species